rnacentral:rRNA from 1 species
UACGUAGGGGGCAAGCGUUGUCCGGAAUCAUUGGGCGUAAAGCGCGUGUAGGCGGCCCGGUAAGUCCGCUGUGAAAGUCGGGGGCUCAACCCUCGAAUGCCGGUGGAUACUGUCGGGCUAGAGUGCGGGAGAGGCGAGUGGAAUUCCUGGUGUAGCGGUGAAAUGCGCAGAUAUCAGGAGGAACACCAAUUGCGAAGGCAGCUCGCUGGGACGUAACUGACGCUGAGACGCGAAAGCGUGGGGAGCAAACAGG